rnacentral:rRNA from 1 species
UACGUAGGGGUCUAGCGUUGUCCGGAAUUAUUGGGCGUAAAGAGCUCGUAGGCGGUUCGGCAAGUCGGAUGUGAAAUCUCCACGCUUAACGUGGAGGGGCCAUUCGAAACUGCCGUGACUCGAGUCCGGUAGGGGAGUGCGGAAUUCCCGGUGUAGCGGUGAAAUGCGCAGAUAUCGGGAGGAACACCAGUGGCGAAGGCGGCACUCUGGGCCGGAACUGACGCGGAGGAGCGAAAGCGUGGGGAGCGAACAGG